UACAGAGGUCCCGGGCGUUGUUCGGAUUCACUGGGCGUAGAGGGUGCGUAGGCGGUCGGGUAAGUCUGAUGUGAAAUCCCGCAGCUUAACUGCGGAACGGCAUUGGAUACUAUUCGGCUCGAGGAGUGGAGGGGAGACUGGAAUUCUCGGUGUAGCAGUGAAAUGCGUAGAUAUCGGGAGGAACACCUGUGGCGAAAGCGGCGCACUGGACCAUAACUGACGCUGAGGCGCGAAAGCUAGGGGAGCAAACAGG
rnacentral:rRNA from 1 species